rnacentral:tRNA from 1 species
GCGCCCGUAGCUCAGUUGGACAGAGCGCGUGUUUCCUAAACACGAGGCCGCUGGUUCGAGCCCAGCCGGGCGUA